GAAGAUUACAAAAUUGUUCACCUUCAGCGAAUAUCCUUUAUAGCUGCACAUAUGCCGGUCUAUACUUACAACACGAAAGGAGAUCUGAUUGCAGACUACCCAUAUAUUCAGGACGACUGCUACUACAGUGGAUCCGUGGAAGGCGCCUUGGACUCUCAGGUUGUCCUCUCUACCUGCACUGGGCUUUGGUAAUAAAGGCUUUGUGUAAGAACUGAAAAAAAAUUACAUAUAAUGUAGGUAUGGAUCAUGUGAGCAGU